GUCUCAGUAGCGCAAUGGAUAGCGCAUUGAAUUUCUGAUCCAAAGGACGUAGGUUCGAAUCCCACCUGGGAUG